rnacentral:tRNA from 1 species
AGGCUUGUAGCUCAGGUGGUUAGAGCGCACCCCUGAUAAGGGUGAGGUCGGUGGUUCAAGUCCACUCAGGCCUG